rnacentral:rRNA from 1 species
GAUGAACGCUGGCGGCGUGCCUAAUACAUGCAAGUCGAGCGAACAGACGAGGAGCUUGCUCCUCUGACGUUAGCGGCGGACGGGUGAGUAACACGUGGAUCACCUACCUAUAAGUCUGGGAUAACUUCGGGAAACCGGAGCUAAUACCGGAUAAUAUAUUGAACCGCAUGGUUCAAUAGUGAAAGACGGUUUUGCUGUCACUUAUAGAUGGAUCCGCGCCGCAUUAGCUAGUUGGUAAGGUAACGGCUUAUCAAGGCAACUAUGCGUAGCCGACCUGAGAGGGUGAUCGGCCACACUGGAGCGGAGACACGGUCCAGACUCCUACGGGAGGCAGCAGUAGGGAAUCUGCCGCAAUGGGCGAAAGCCUGACGGAACAACGCCGCGUGAGUGAUGAAGGUCUUCGGAUCGUAAAACUCUGUUAUUAGGGAAGAACAAAUGUGUAAGUAACUAUGCACGUCUUGACGGUACCUAAUCAGAAAGCCACGGCUAACUACGUG